AGCUCCAAUAGCGUAUAUUAAGGUUGUUGUGGUUAAAAAGCUCGUAGUUGGAUCUCGGCGGUCUGCGGGCUGUUCACUUGCUAGUGCUACUGCCCUACAGACUGUAGUUAGAGUGCUCAAAGCAGGCUUUUACGCCUGAAUAUUCGUGCAUGGAAUAAUAGAAUAGGAAGUCGUUUCUAUUUUGUUGGUUUUUGGACAUCGACUUAAUGAUUAAUAGGGACAGUCGGGGGCAUUUGUAUUCAAACGACAGAGGUGAAAUUCUUGGACCGUUUGAAGACAAACUACUGCGAAAGCAUUUGCCAAGAAUGUUUUCA
rnacentral:rRNA from 1 species